GACGAGCGCUGGCGGCGUGCUUAACACAUGCAAGUCGAACGGAAAGGCCCUGCUUUUGUGGGGUGCUCGAGUGGCGAACGGGUGAGUAACACGUGAGUAACCUGCCCUUGACUUUGGGAUAACUUCAGGAAACUGGGGCUAAUACCGGAUAGGAGCUCCUGCUGCAUGGUGGGGGUUGGAAAGUUUCGGCGGUUGGGGAUGGACUCGCGGCCUAUCAGCUUGUUGGUGGGGUAGUGGCUUACCAAGGCUUUGACGGGUAGCCGGCCUGAGAGGGUGACCGGCCACAUUGGGACUGAGAUACGGCCCAGACUCCUACGGGAGGCAGCAGUGGGGAAUAUUGCACAAUGGGCGGAAGCCUGAUGCAGCAACGCCGCGUGCGGGAUGACGGCCUUCGGGUUGUAAACCGCUUUCGCCUGUGACGAAGCGUGAGUGACGGUAAUGGGUAAAGAAGCACCGGCUAACUACGUG
rnacentral:rRNA from 1 species